rnacentral:rRNA from 1 species
ACCUACGGGAGGCAGCAGUAGGGGAUUUUCGUCAAUGGGCGCAAGCUUGAACGAGCAAUGCCGCGUGAACGAGGAAGGUCUUCGGAUCGUAAAGUUCUGUUGAAGGGGAAAAAGAGCGGAGAGAGGAAAUGAACUCCGAUUGAUAUUACCCUUCGAGGAAGUCACGGCUAACUACGUGCCAGCAGCCGCGGUAAUACGUAGGUGGCGAGCGUUAUCCGGAAUGAUUGGGCGUAAAGGGUGCGUAGGCGGCCUGCUAGGUCUGGAGUGAAAGGUACCGGCUCAACCGGUACAGGCUCUGGAAACUG